AGUGAACGCUGGCGGUAGGCCUAACACAUGCAAGUCGAACGGCAGCACAGUAAGAGCUUGCUCUUACGGGUGGCGAGUGGCGGACGGGUGAGGAAUACAUCGGAAUCUACUUUUUCGUGGGGGAUAACGUAGGGAAACUUACGCUAAUACCGCAUACGACCUACGGGUGAAAGCAGGGGAUCUUCGGACCUUGCGCGAGUGAAUGAGCCGAUGUCGGAUUAGCUAGUUGGCGGGGUAAAGGCCCACCAAGGCGACGAUCCGUAGCUGGUCUGAGAGGAUGAUCAGCCACACUGGAACUGAGACACGGUCCAGACUCCUACGGGAGGCAGCAGUGGGGAAUAUUGGACAAUGGGCGCAAGCCUGAUCCAGCCAUACCGCGUGGGUGAAGAAGGCCUUCGGGUUGUAAAGCCCUUUUGUUGGGAAAGAAAAGCAGCGGGUUAAUACCCCGCUGUUCUGACGGUACCCAAAGAAUAAGCACCGGCUAACUUCGUG
rnacentral:rRNA from 1 species